UCCACAUUGCAAAACUCCCUAGAGCACUGCUCUAUUUUCUACCAAUCUUCAUUGCUUUUCAAUGGGGUUUUGCCUGUGGCUUUGCCGUAUGUUCAGGUGAUUGCAGUUCUUAUCUAAGGAUGCUCUCUUUGCAUGUAAAUAGAUGCAGAUGUCCAUGAUAACUUGAAUAGAUACCUUUGUGUCAAAGAGGAUCAAAAUGGAUCUCUACCCUGAGAGGUGCUCUACACUUACGCAGAGAAAUAAUAGAACCCUGAAAUAGAAGAGGAAGAAAAGAAAGGGAAGAAAGAAGAGAGGACAAAAAAAUGCACUAGUACCAUAUGAGAAUUUAAAGCCUAGAUAUUGUUCAUACUUAUGAACAAUAUUCUUAACAACAACAGAAAGGGAAAAAUAAGAGCAGGAGUUGGGACUAAAUCUUGUUUUUUAG